UACGGGGGGAGCAAGCGUUGUUCGGAAUCACUGGCUUAAAGCGCGUGUAGGCGGGACGGCACGUCGGUCGCUGAAAGCCCCCGGCUCAACCGGGGAACGGGCGCCGAUACGACCGUCCUGGAGGGACGUAGGGGGACCUGGAACUUCCGGUGGAGCGGUGAAAUGCGUUGAGAUGCGGAGGAACACCGAUGGCGAAGGCAACCCCCUGGGCUGACACUGACGCUCAGGCACGAAAGCGUGGGGAGCAAACAGGG
rnacentral:rRNA from 1 species